rnacentral:rRNA from 1 species
AACGCUGGCGGUCUGCUUACACAUGCAAGUCGAACGGGCUCUUCGGAGCUAGUGGCGGACAGGUGAGUAACGCGUGAGGAUCUGCCUUCAGGAGGGGGAUAACGACUGGAAACGGUCGCUAAUACCGCAUAUGCCUACGGGUGAAAGAUUUAUCGCCUGGAGAUGAACUCGCGUCAGAUUAGCUAGUUGGUGGGGUAAGAGCCUACCAAGGCGACGAUCUGUAGCUGGUCUGAGAGGAUGAUCAGNCACACUGGGACUGAGACACGGCCCAGACUCCUACGGGAGGCAGCAGUGGGGAAUUUUCCGCAAUGGGCGCAAGCCUGACGGAGCAAGACCGCGUGCGGGAUGACGGCCUAAUGGUUGUAAACCGCUUUUCUCUGGGAAGAUGAUGACGGUACCAGAGGAAUCAGCCUCGGCUAACUCCGUGCCAGCAGCCGCGGUAAUACGGAGGAGGCAAGCGUUAUCCGGAAUUAUUGGGCGUAAAGCGUCCGUAGGUGGUUAUUCAAGUCUGCUGUCAAAGCGUGGGGCUUAACUCCAUAGAGGCAGUGGAAACUGGAUGACUUGAGUGCGGUAGGGGUCGAGGGAAUUCCCAGUGUAGCGGUGAAAUGCGUAGAUAUUGGGAAGAACAACCAGUGGCGAAAGCGCUCGACUGGGCCUGCACUGACACUGAGGGACGAAAGCUAGGGGAGCGAAAGGGAUUAGAUAACCCCUGUAGUCCUAAGCCGUAAACGAUGGAUACUAGGUGUUGCUCGUCAUCGACCCGAGCAGUGCCGUAGCCAACGCGUUAAGUAUCCCGCCUGGGGAGUACGCUCGCAAGAGUGACACUCAAAGGAAUUGACGGGGGCCCGCACAAGCGGUGGAGUAUGUGGUUUAAUUCGAUGCAACGCGAAGAACCUUACCAGGGCUUGACAUGUCCGGAACCUUGCCGAAAGGUAAGGGUGCCUACGGGAACCGGAGCACAGGUGGUGCAUGGCUGUCGUCAGCUCGUGUCGUGAGAUGUUGGGUUAAGUCCCGCAACGAGCGCAACCCACGUUCUUAGUUGCCAGCAUUCAGUUGGGCACUCUAGGGAGACUGCCGGUGACAAACCGGAGGAAGGUGUGGAUGACGUCAAGUCAGCAUGCCCCUUACGUCCUGGGCUACACACGUACUACAAUGCUGUGGACA